UACGUAGGGGGCAAGCGUUAUCCGGAUUUACUGGGUGUAAAGGGAGCGUAGACGGCCAGACAAGUCAGAAGUGAAAGCCCAGGGCUCAACCCUGGGACUGCUUUUGAAACUGCCGGGCUGGAGUGCAGGAGAGGUAAGCGGAAUUCCUAGUGUAGCGGUGAAAUGCGUAGAUAUUAGGAGGAACACCAGUGGCGAAGGCGGCUUACUGGACUGUAACUGACGUUGAGGCUCGAAAGCGUGGGGAGCAAACA
rnacentral:rRNA from 1 species